AUAAUGAUACUUUUGUAGCCGAAAGGCGCAACCGGCGGAGUACCCGGCGGAGGUGAGAUUCCUAUGG
rfam:Clostridium sp. CAG:448 genomic scaffold, scf173